rnacentral:lncRNA from 1 species
CAGUAACAGAGCAAACUAUGAGGAUUCCCACCGCCAGCAACAUCAGGAGACGAAGGCCCUCCUUGACGAGGCCACUCAGCCACCCCGCGACCUUGAGCUAAUAACAGAAUAUCUAUGGCAGUGCGAUUCUGUAGCAAGGCAUGCCGUAAGCUGUUCUGGUCAAGCAGAAGCUGUUUGAGAAAGGAGAGUGCAACCCUUGCAGCAAGCGAGAAAAGCUCCGUGGGAUGCUCACAUUCAGGGGUUAGCAGAGCACGCUUCAUGCGAUCAGAGCGGUUAGAGAGUAAUGUUUCAAAGCUGCUCAAAGGUAGGAGCAAACAGAGUUGAUUUUCCUAAGGAAUGGGGUCCACCUGUCUCCUGGCUGGGGAUGCCCUGCCACGCUCUGUCUCCACAGACCAAAAAGAUGUCCGGAGGCAAUGCCUUCGCAGAGCCAUUGCACCAUAUAGUCGAGUUGUUACCAUUUGCAGCUGCGCCAUAGGCAGCCAAACCUGUCUUCUUGAUGUAUUGGUGCCACAGUAAUCACAAGCAUCCCGUAAGUAAAUUUGCCACGGCUAGAUACAGUAGUGCAAGAGGUCCAAUUCAGCCCUUUAUAAGGAUUUAGGCCCUGCUGGGUAUUACUGAAUACAAAGCAGGUCUGGGUCCAAUUCUGUGACGUGUUCCCUAUCGCCUGCGACCCCAUAAGUUACGGUUCCUGGGGAUCCCAAGGCAGCGAGACAUUUCAUCCAGCAAUCAGUUCAGUGGAGCAUCCCAGACUGUGUAGAAGCCGCUGUAGAGCCGGGGCAGAGAGCUGUUGGCAUCGAUGAGGCACAGCGGGGUCUGCUGAGGCCCCCCCCCCCCCCCCAACAGGCUGCCCCACGCCAGCUUCUGCAGCUCGAUGGGCAUCACGGUGUAGGGCAGUGCUUCUCAGUGUAGCCCUGGAAGCCCUGCACUGCCAUGGAGAGCACCGGGUGGAGGCGGCUGUGGCGCGGUCCGGGCUCGGGCCAGGGGAGGCUGCGGGUGGCCGUACAGCGGGGGCUCGUAUGGCCUUCAAGGUGUUGGCAGCAGCACGCCACACCGGUCCCAGAGGCUUCAGCAACUCCUCGUCCUUCCCCCCAGAUAUCACACAGUCCCACGUAUGAUCUCCUAUAUCACGCCAUUCUGAAGCACCGAACAUCAGUGCCACCUCCAUGAGGUAUUCAAGUCAUCGAGCCCAUUUUACCAGCUCCGACGGGCCUUUAGGAGACACUUGCUCCCCUUUCUUAGAGAGGAUAGUUAGGAGCGGUUUCUCUGUAGCUUCCCACUCUAUCGUGGGGGCAGAGGGCAGGGAGGGACCCCGCUUCCAGCUACCGUGACACUUACAGCACUGUUGCUUGUCCGGUGCCAUCCAUCUGCGACCGCUGCCUCGUCUCCCUCUUACUCCAAGGUCCUUUUCUGAUGGUUCUUACUCCAAAGUCCCCGUUUGGGCACCACUUGUCACCGAGUGACUGUUCAGAGUCCUCUGGAGAGCAAUAUUCAGCCAAGGCGCGGCGUGGACGAGGCCACACACCGUUGUGGUUUCUAGCAGCCAAGCCGUGUAAUAACUGCACCCAGCCGCUUAUAUAGAGCGGUACAAAUAACAUGCUAAGUACACAAGGCACGCUUCUCAUGACUGGCAGUUGCUUGCAGCUUGUCUCACGGCACCCGGCACAGCGGUCUCCAUCACAGCUCCGCAUUCCUUUUGCCUACUCCCGUCGUUGUUCUGUGUGAGACAGUGAUCCAUAGCAGCUGUUUUGCUUGCAGUGACCCAGGGGGAGAUAAACAUCACCUCCCUGGGUCAGCUGUCCAUCCACACUUCCCCAGUCCAGGAGCAGAGAAGAGGAGGUUCCGUGACCUCAGUCCCUCCAGCAGAGCCGCCCCAGGCGCUGCAGCAGCUCGGUGGCCCUGUGCUGCACUCUCCCCAGUGUGUCCCGGGCUCUCCUCAGCCCUGGGUCCAGAGAGGAGGAGGAGUGGGGCCGUCGGAUGGGGCUGUGAUGUACAGGGAACAAUGAGGAUGCACAAGAGCUCUCCUGUAUGCAGUGGAAACAAACAGCUCCUUCUCUCCAUGCCAGCUCUGCACCUCCUCCUGUGACACUCCACAUGUGGGGCUCUGGCAGCUCUCCCUCAGCUCUUCUUCCUCAGCACAGCCCCGAGCAGGGGUGGGGGUGAUGGGGGCCGGGACACACAGCCUGGUGAGGAGGGGGUGAUCGGGGGCUGCAGGGCAUGGCGCUGGGGGAGCUGCUGCCCGUGGUGCAGAGCUGAGGCUCUCUGCCUCCCUGCGCCCUCAGUUUUGUUCUCUGCAGUGCCCGGAACGCGGUGCGUUUACAGGAACGGGUUUCUGUGGAGCCUUCGGCCUCACCCUGCGUGUCUGUUGGUUAUAGCGUGCUCUCUUGGCUCGGGGGCUCCCACAGGGCAGCACGUGGCCACUUUUUUGGAGAGGAUCCAACCUGGCCCUCCCCUGGCGCAACCUGAGGCCACAGGCAGACGGAAUGGAUGUAUCGCUUUGGUAUCCCCUUCCGAGAGGAGCCCUCCCCAACUCCUCUGGGUAACUGUGGCUUUCCCCGCCGCUCCCUAAGCUGGCAGAGUCCCCCGCGGGGCCCUUCUGUGUCCCUCAGCACCCCCUGCUCAGCGCUGUGCCAUCGCUGUCCCCAUCCCGCUCUCCUCAAAGUCUGUCCCGGCUCAGAGCGCCCACAGCCCCGAGCGCGGCCUCACCCACGCACUGCACUCCUUCCCCUGCUCCCAUCUCCUCCUCCUUCCCGGCUCCGCGUCCCCAGCUGGGAGGACAGAGGACAACACCGCCUGCGCUCCCGAUCCCUUCCGCAUCGUUCCCGGGGACAAAAAGUCUCCCUGGAUAUUUCACCGUCUCCACCCCACAGCCUGACGCAGCCCCGCUUGGAAGGACAGCCAUGGGCAGAAGUCCCCCCUCACACUGAACCCCAUCUCCUCAUCCCAAGGAGAUCUGUGCUCCCCGGCUCCGUUUGCUGAUGGCUGCGCAGUUUCUGCACUCACCCAGCAGUGGCUCAGCACAGCGGCUCCUGCAGCACUUUGCACGGGGCUGUUUGUGGAGCAGCGCUAUCUGCGAUCCCAGCACUGCCCUCCUCCUGACGCUGCCUAUAAGAGCGCUGCUGAGCUGCACAGCGGUUCCAGCCCCGGCACUGCUGUGCAGGAGGAGAGCAGGAACAGCACGAGUGCAGCAGGCAGACCUGGGGACACAGCGCAGCGCUGUUUGGUGAGUUGCCUGCAGCUCUGCUGCCACUACGGGAAGAAAUUCCAAGGAUGCAGAAUCUGCUUUCGAGGAGUGGGUUCUGAUUUCCAUGGAUAAGGACCAGCCAAUAUUUCUUUCCAAAGAAAAAGGGAAAGUCAGGGGAGUUGGGUAAUUCUGAUGACAUUUGGCUCAGCACUGCAGUGCACUGCAGCCCCACCGCUGCCGUACAGAGCGACGGCACCUCCUUCUUUGCUGCCAGCACUGCUGCUCACACAGCCACGAUGCCGUUGGCCUUCUUGGCCCCUGGGCACAGUGCUGGCCCACGGUCAGUCCAGCAUCAAUCAACUGCCCCAGCAACAGUGACCCACCAGGGUGGGUUUGGGGACCCUCGAAGAAUGCGUGAAAAAGAAACUCCUCAGCCUCAAAGUGCUGCUGUCAACAAGAAGGAAAGGGGAAGUGUCCCGUGAGUGUCUGUUGGGCUCCUGAAGGGAUAAUUACAGACUGCAAACCGCCUCCAUUGCUGUGGAAGGGAGAUUGGAAUGAGACAGCCGCUAUCCCGUCUCGAAUGCAGAUCUUGGUGGGCCAUAACGUGCCUGCCCAGCAAGGAUUUAUUGUACCAAUCUAUAACAUAAUCUGGUAUGACAUAUUAGUAAACAGCCCUUUAAAGAUAACCCCACUACCGCCAAUCGGUGCGUUGGGAAGGAUUGCCAAGCACUUACUGCUACACAGAAAUAAAACAGAGACCUCAGUCUGCAUCCCGGCUGUGUGCGUGUUGGAUGAUGCUCGGCAAGAGGGAUAGCUCCCCCAGAGCAGCAUCACCCCCUCCUCACCAGGCUGUGUCCCGGCCCCCAUCACCCCCACCACUGCUCGGUGCUGUGCUGGGGAAGAGGAGCUGUGGGAGCGCUGCUCUGGUGCUGGCACAGCAGGGCCUGUGCUGGGGCACGACUGGGAGCAGCUCUGCAGAUGGGCCCUGAGUGCUGCUGGGCUCCGAGGGGACACGAAGUGGCUGUGGCCCUCCACCUGUGUCCGGGCUGCGCUGGGAUGGCACUGCCAGCAGUGGGACGAGUGGGAUCUGCCCUCUGCUCAGCAAUGGUGCGGCUGCACAGACAGCACUGCAGGCAGCUCUGGGCCCCCCGCACAGGAGAGCC